CCGAUUCGAGGUGUGACGGUU
rnacentral:miRNA from 1 species